rnacentral:lncRNA from 1 species
GGUGGCGCAGAUUCUGACGUCAUUCUGCACGCCAUUGUUCUGCAAUGCGCCCUGCCCCCAACACUGCCAGUGCUUGCAAACUUAGAGGAUUUAAAUUCAUCACUAGUGUUUUGAAAUCCCAGGAUGUGUUCCUGAGACAGUCUUCGUUGUUUUAUUGUCCUGGGCAUUCUGCGUCCUUUCAGUCUGGAGAUUUUUAGCUUCCUUUGCUUCUGAGUCUCUAUUUGCAGUGCCCCGAUGCUAGAAACCUGAGAUCCCAUGGCUUCUCCAGAAUGGAGGCUUGGGCAUUGUCAGCACCCUCCUUCCAAGAGUUGAAAGUUCCUCUCUUCUGGAAGACAAACUGAUGUGAGGAUGAGGAGGAGUCAGAAAUAAACUCAUUCAACUAAUACUUGAGUAGCUACUGUUGCCUACAGUAUGUUCAAGGUUUUGCUAGUCAUCCAUAUGAUCACUAUUGACAGCUUGGGAGACUCACACAGGCUAGUGAAUUUCAGGAAUUAACAGAAACUGAACAGCUUCUAUAAUCCUGCAGGAAGUAACCUCUGGAUGGCACAAUGGAGUCUCACUCUGUUGCCCAGGCUGGAGUGCAAUGGCACAAUCUCAGCUCACCACAAGCUCCGCCUCCUGCGUUCAAGUGAUUCUCCUGCCUUAGCCUUCUGAGUAGCUGGUAUUACAGGUGCCUGCUACCAUGGCCAGCUAAGUUUUGUAUUUUUAGUAGAGACAGGGUUUCACCAUGUUGGCCAGGCUGUUCUCAAACUCCUGACCUCAAGUGAUCUGCCCGCCUAAGCCUCCCAAAGUGCUGGGAUUACAAGCAUGAGCCGCCGCACCCGGCCUCUGCUAAGUUUACAACCUGCAAAUUCUAUCCAAAAUAUAUACAUAUUUUCUUGUAUUUUUCAUUUAAUGCACCAAAAUAAAAAAAAAAUUGUUUUUCAUU